rnacentral:rRNA from 1 species
UACGGAGGGUGCAAGCGUUGCUCGGAAUUAUUGGGCGUAAAGGGUAGGUAGGUGGUCUCAUUUGUCUGGGGUGAAAGCCUUGAGCUUAACUCAAGAAGUGCCCCAGAAACGGUGAGACUGGAGUCUUGGAGAGGGUCGUGGAAUUCCCGGUGUAGCGGUGAAAUGCGUAGAUAUCUGGAGGAACACCGGUGGCGAAGGCGGCAUCCUGGACCAACACUGACGCUGAGGAGCGAAAGCCAGGGGAGCAAACAGG